AUUGAACGCUGGCGGCAGGCCUAACACAUGCAAGUCGAGCGGAGCGGCGGACGGGUGAGUAAUGCCUAGGAACCUGCCUUGUAGUGGGGGAUUACGUCUGGAAACGGGCGCUAAUACCGCAUACUUUCUGAUGCGCCUAGGUAGAAUUAGCUAGUAGGUGGGGUAAUGGCUCACCUAGGCAACGAUCCCUAGCUGGUCUGAGAGGAUGAUCAGCCGAACUGGAACUGAAACACGGACCAGACACCUACGGGGGGCAGCAGUGGGGAGUAUUGCACAUUGGGCGCAAGCCUGAUGCAGCCAUGCCGCGUGUAUGAAGAAGGCCUUCGGGUUGUAAAGUACUUUCGGCAGGGAGGCGUUACCCACAGAAGAAGCACCGGCUAACUCCGUGCCAGCAGCCGCGGUAAUAC
rnacentral:rRNA from 1 species